rnacentral:lncRNA from 1 species
AGAAUAGUAGUUACUUUACCAUAAGGAGAUUUUUCAGUACAUAGAAAAUUUUCUGCAAUGAAUAUCAACCCAUAACAGAUAUAAUUUCGUUGGAUGCAAAAAUUUCUGAGUCCCUAAUAUCCUAACCUGUUCAAAUUAUUCAGACUAGUUUAAAAUUUUCUCUGUCUUUUUACUAUGAAGAGAAUUUUAUUUUCACAUGCUGGCCUUUGUAUUCAUGCUACUUUUCCUUUGGAAUGGUAAGUUUAGACUCAAUGAAUUCAAAUCUGUGGAGAGAAAAAAAAAAACUUAUAAAGCACUAUUACUUUAAAGCCUAACUGUGAAGUUAAGCUUUUCAAUUCCUUUACAUUUCCAUGUCACUUAGAAAAAAAAGUAAGAGAAAGAUAAAAAGAAAAUUUAUUUACCUCCAGCCCUAAAGGCUUAAAUAACAAUACUAUAUAUCCAUUUUCAGCUUAUAAUAAUGACAUAUCAGAACCAAUAGUUGUGGAUAAACUACUAACCUCUGGAGCCAAAUGAAUUUUGAGGUGUUUCUUGCUUCUCCUUCGAUCCAACAUCAACGAUCUUGUCAACCAUAGGAGGAACAUCCUCAUCAUACUCAGAGAAAUCACCACCGUGAUUAGCCUUACCAACCAAUCUUUCCUGGAAAAACAUAAAUGCAGUUAUACUUGAUUCAUUGCAACAUUCUUUCUUUCAAGCUCAAAAUCAAUAUAAUGGUCACUUACUUCUUCAUGGAGGGGAGUCGAUACAGGGUUUAUACUAUCCCCACUUGCUUUGGGACAGGUGAUAUCUUCAACUUCAGAUCCUGAUUCUCCUGUAGAUGUGCCACUACUUCUUAUCUGUUCCCCAGAAACGCAAAAUCCAAAGGAAGAUAUGAUAUUUAAUUGAAAAAUCUGGAAGCUCUUUCAAAAUGCUGUGUUUAAGAUGGUUUUGGAAACUGUACCAUUGGAUUAGAUGGCUUAUCACAUUCAAUGACCCUCCCCUCAUCUUUAGAAACUGAUUCCAUUUGUUUAGAACACUGUACUCCACCAAUAACCAUCUGCAUGCCCACAACUGUUCUAUUUAAGUCAUAGUAAUAUGCAAAGCAGAACAGAAAACAGAGAGAACCAGUUAAAAUUGAGCAAAUAAAAGAGCCUAUACUAUAUUAAUCACAUAAUAAAGCAUUUUUGGAAAUCCUUCUGUAAUUGAUUCUAAAACCAAAAUCAAUUAUGGGGAAAAAGUUGAUUCUGGGAAAAACAAACUGAUCCAAACCUUCAAAAUGUUUAGGUCUUGCCAUGGCCCUUUAUCAGACCUCAUACAACCUCCCUGAUCUCUACAAGUGCAACUACCGCCUAGGAAUUCUGGCAGCUCACUGAGAACUUUUAGUUUGUAAGAAUUUUCAAAUAACAAUAUAUGUUGAAUGAAAAUAACUCCAUUAACAGAAUUAGAUGUAGAGUUACCUAGCAUCGAUAGUCUCAAGUAAUUUACUCUGGAACUUGUUUCCAAGAACCUAAUGUAGAAUUGAAAUAUCAGCUUAUCAUAUAUCUAUAGAUUACCUCCAAAAAUAGUAAGUAAUUACUUCAAUGGAAUCCUAUAAAAAUAUUAAAAUAUAAACGAUGACUCUCACAAUCAACACAUACAUGAAUCUUUGAAGUAGUUUUGGGAUCAAGAAAUGUUUUCACCGUGUUCCAAAGAAGCUUAAAACCAGGACCAGCAUUGACUAUGAACAUUUGAUAGAGUGUCUGCAUGGAAUAAUUUACAGAUUAUAAGCACUGCACGAACAAUAUGAAAAUUCAGAAGCCACCAAGAAAGUGAACACAAAGCCUACAUACUUCAGGAUAGUAAUCAUUAUCAAUCUUCUGUAGUUGAGUGAUGAGUUCCCGUGCAGACUUGGUAAAGUUUUUGAAACCCUAGAAACCAAGAGGCAUACUAAGAAUAUAUACUCUCGUCAUAACUAAUUUCAAGUUAAAUGGUGUCGAGGAAAGUUUUUGUGGACAUUUAGAACCCUCUUGGAUGCAGACAAAUAGCACUUAGUGGAGCUUAUCUAGUGCAUCUCUUUGUCUGGUAUCCAAAUGGGCUCUUAGGCACACAACUUACCACGCCUUGAACAUCCAAAAUGGUUGUGCUUGAAUCAAUGUGUCUCUUAGCAGCUAUAGAGCAAGCUGGAAACUUGACAGAAAAUGCUUUCUCAAAUCCCUGCACAUGGUAUCUCACAUACCUUUCCAUGGUAGUUACUUGCAUAAGCUUAUUUGGAUCAACUUUCCCUAGUCUCUCAAUAUAAAUAGGUCUUCCUUCUUUAUCUACACCAUGAUUACCAUGUGGAUAGUACGUCAAAACUUCAUACAACUCCUUGAAUUCAAAAUCCUAAAGAGUGGAAACCAUAGUAUAUUGUAUGAACACCAAAUUAAAAAAAAAAAAAUCAAUGUUCUGACUACAUGUUUGAUUCAAUGUUAAUAUUAUUGAAUAUGAUUUCUGACCUCUAUAAUUGUAUCUGUACCAUAGUCUUUCCUCCAUUGGAUCAUGUUGGCCCCCAUUUGCUUUGCUUUCUCAAUAUCAAACUUCCUUGCUUUCAAGAAUCUGCAAUGAAUUUGCUCACUUUAUUUUUAUCUGACAGUCUCAGCUCUAAGAAGUAUGUCAACAAUGAAUGAGAAAUACUUAAUGGCAUGAAAAGUAAUUCUCAUAUUUUGCACAAAAAGUUAAAUUAUAAAGUAAUACUUUACUUUCUCAAUCUUGAUUUUCCUCCUUAUUCUCACACUUUCAUACCAUUCAUCUCUUAUUUAACAGCAUUAUAGCAACGCUCAUUAUGAAUAUGCGAAGAGAUAGCAAUGAACAAAUGUUUGUAACCUUAAUAACAUGUGAUAGUCAUCAUGCAUUGGAGGCAGAAAGUUAUCCAACAUAAGUGCUUGUCGAAGAGCUUCCACAGCUUGAAGCUCCUUAACAUCUCGAACGUCUUCAAUGGAGAGGGAAUUGGUACGGCUGGCACUCUUUUUGCUUCUUUUCUUCUUAAGAGAGUGCCUGAAUUUGGUGGAAGCACUUAUUGCCAUCUUCUUUAGACUGCCAAUUCUCGUCCGCCUAUCAUCCUCAGAAUUCUCUCUUCUUUCUUCAUUGCCUGAGUAUCCUUCAAAGCCUAACCAAUAGAUUUAAGACCAUGCAGGAAUGAACAUUAAUUCAAAUGAACUUAUUCAGCUUUUUUUUUUGGUACAUCGGAAAGAUAAAUUGCACCCGCCAGGAAUCGAUCCCUGGACCUCCCCCUACCCAACCCAUAUGCCCCCAGCUCCUACCACUUGAGUUAUCCUACGGGGACAACUUAUUCAGCUUAUUAAAUUAAACCUUAAUUAAAAAUGAAAAGAAAUGAAACUUGAUGUAAAUCUUUUACUAAGAAAUGAAGAAAACAUUCAAAUAACAAUAUUAAGCCCAAGAAAAAAGCAAUUAAGAAAACAUGGCAAAAGUAAAAGAACCCAGAAAGAGAAAGGAGAAGGUGCUACUCACAAAUGUGCCCAGACAUGUCUGGAAUGGUAAACGAAGACCCAAGUGGCAGACCAAUUCCUAAUAGUGAAACAAGAAGCAGGGGCAGAAGAAAAUUUAAUAAAACUUGAACCUUUAUUGUUGGGCAUGGGUUGAUUGGUUCAAUCGUUUUCAGAGUGUUUGAUUGAACAUGUAGCAGACACAGGGUGUAGUUAGAUGACAAAAUAAAUGCAGAGAUGAAACUCUGAUGUUGUUGAUGAUAAUUAAAACAAUAUACUCUUCUCAAAGAUGAAGGCAGAAUAAUGUAAACUUGAUAUUAUUCUAUACAAUAUGCUUCACCUCCCAUUUUAAAAUUAUGUAUCUAUGUGUAUGUAUGACUUUUGAUUUUGGACUCAAUAAUAAAUAAGAGGUCCCUGUUGCCACCUUGUGGAUUGGUGGCCCCGCCAUGUAUUAGUUAACGUAGGGCCUUUGGCGAGUUGGCGGGAGUUUAUCUCCAUCUUCAACUUCUUCAGAUUUUUUCUUCUUCUUUGUGGUCAUCAAUCAUCAUUAGGUGUUAAUAUAUAUUAUUCAUCUGACCAAAAUAUUCAAUAGAAUUUAAGCAUAGGACAAAAUCAAUGAAAAUACACGUAUAUCCCUUUGUAUGUUAGUGAUGUGGGACACUGUCCUAUGUGUGGAAAGUUUGAUGACUUUGAUCUCCUUGUACAUUUUGGCUUGUGUGCCUAUUUUUCUUCCUUCUACAGGAACAAUUGUGCUGAGUAAACUUAAGUAUAGCAGGUUGACACCGAACACACCAACAUGUUCUUCGUCUCCACGCACGUUGUUCUUUCGUCCACUUAUUCCUAAGCGCCAUUGGAGAGCUACCUUAACUCCACUAUAAGAUUCUUUCUGUAGAUUUUAUAAUAUCUGAAAUGAAUAUGCGAGUACUUUCAGGCUUUCUGGUUAGAGUCACAAUUCUGCCAUAUAAAUUUUAAGGUAAUGUUGUUAGUGACCUCCCUUUUAUGAACUUGAUUCCUCUGCCAGUACCCUCUUUAGCAAAGUCCUUUUACAUUUGAAGUGGUCUAACACUCUAACAUGGUAGGGUAGUUUUUGCAUAGUAGUUAUAAUUAAGGACCAAAUAAUCACUCUAUGAAGUUUUUUCUUUCCAAAGCAAAUAAGCACUCAGCAAAGUUAUACAGUCAUCAUUGCCAUUAUGCAAUAGAAAGUUCCCUACAUGCAAGUCUCCCAAAAAAAUUAAUAUUAAUAAUAAUAAUAGUAAUAAUAAUAAUGAAGCGGACACAGGAAAAAAAAACAGGAAAUUCAACAACUUCUGUAAACAGCAUUUUAUUCAAUCAUCCCAAUUUUUUUUUCCAAACCCUGCAAUACAACACAACCAACAGCAACAAGCUGCGUCCAAUGGAUGAACCAGAAUUAUACAUAUUAACAGUUGGGGAGGAUUGAAAGAAGUAGUGGAAAAGCAAAAUACAUGAUGCAUUUCUGUUCAUAUUUAGACCAUGGCUGCUUAGAUCUGUGUAUAACAAUAGGAAAUUUGAGGACCGAAAAAAAAUUUAGCUGUUGGUGAAAAUUAUAUACCAAUUACUAUAAUACUGUCCAUCCCGAGUACAAAUGGCACAUUUUUAUAGAACUGGAUAUGAUUUUCUUUACAGUUUAAACUUUAGGACAGUUAAAUUAUUAAAUGAAGCACUUAUUUGUUGUAGCUGAACUUAUGCUUAAUUUCCACCUUCUUCACUUGAGCGUGAGUCAGGGGCCAGUAAAUAAGAUGGCCUCUUUUUUGUAUUCAACAUUCUUAAUUGAAGUCAUCCUGAUGCAAUUAUAUGUAUAGAAGCAUCAUAUCCUCUUUUUAUGGAAACUUAGCUUAACAUUAUUGCACUCGUCAACUGAUUCUUCUCUCUCUCUCUCUCUUCAACACCAUGUUCUUCUUGUCUUGAAUUUGCUUUUUUCCUGAUUGUCUUUGUAUGUCAUAAGUUCUUCUUGUUUUAUCAAAGCUUCGUGUAAAGCCUGUUUAGGAAGUGGAAGAAACAAGUUCAUAUAUAAAAUUAUAAACGCCACAAAGUAUUGAGCAAUCUACCCACAAACAAUAUAAUAUACACCAACAGUUAACAUAGUGCUUAACAAUGACAUAAAGAACAUGAACAUUAUGCAUAACUACAUGAAGGAUCGCUAGUCACUCUACUUCUACAUAUUGUGAUCACAAUCACAAAACUUGAAACAUGAGUCAGGUAAUUUGUUGGACAAGUCAAUUUAAUGGAAACAAGUAGCAAAGAACAUAAAAAAAUUCCUUUAAAACUUUGAGACAUGGUAAAACAGCAGGGAGGGGGGGGGGUUCUGUUUUUUCAAGUCUGAAGCAAUUAAUAUGAUUUCUAAAUGAAAUACAAUUACCUUCUUAGUAGUUAUCUGCUCUGCUUCCAACGCGUCCACUCGAUAAAUAGCAGCAUUCAGCAACUCUUCUUUUGCAUGUGGCAUGGCAUUAAGUUUUGACUCUAGCAUGUCAACUUUCUCUUCAAGCUCACCAAGGCGUUCUAAGGUAGAUGAGGAGAGGUUUGUCAUUGUCAAUCCGCGAGGAGGCGAAAGAGGACGAGGUUCCCCCUUGGAUGUUGAAUCAACAGCCAAGAUUGGUAUGUUUUUGGCAGAAUCAGAUUCAGCGACCAGUAUUCCCUUAGUGGCAUAAAAUGCUACUGAACGAGCAAAAGUAUAAAGGGCCGAAAAGAAGCCUGUUGUAUAUAAUCAUGAUUACUUUACCAUUAAGAAAUUUUUCAGUACAUAGAAAUUUUUCUGCAAUUAAUAUCAACCGAUAAAAGAUAUAAUAUCGUGGAUGCCAAAAAUUUGUUUAAAAUCUUUUCACUAUGAAGAGAAUUUCAUUUUCAUAUGCAGGUCUUUGAAUUCAUGCUACUUUUUCAUUGGAAUGGUAAGUUUAGACUCAAUGAAUUCAAAUCUGUGGAGAGAAAAAAAAUUAUAAAGCACUAUACAUUUAAAGCAUAACUGUAAAGUUAAGCUUUUCAAUUCCUUUACAUUUGCAUGUCACAUAGGAAAAAAAGGGAGAUAAAGAUAAAAAGAAAAUUUAUCUACCUCUAGCCCUAAAGGCUUAAAUAACAAGAGUAUGCAUCUUCAGCUAAUAAUAAUGACAUAUCAGAACCAAUAGUUGUGCAUAUACUACUAACCUCUGGAGACAAAUGAGUUUUGAGGUGUUUCUUGCUUCUCCUUCGAUCCAACAUCAACGAUCUUGUCAACCAUAGGAGGAACAUCCUCAUCAUAAGAGAAAGCACCACCAUGGCUAGCCUUACUAACCAAUCUUUCCUGGAUAAACAUAAAUGCAUUUAAACUUGACUCAUUGCAACAAUUUCUUUUUCC